rnacentral:rRNA from 1 species
CCUACGGGAGGCUGCAGUGAGGAAUAUUGGUCAAUGGGCGCGAGCCUGAACCAGCCAAGUCGCGUGAGGGAAGACGGUCCUAUGGAUUGUAAACCUCUUUUGUCGGGGAGCAAAAGACGCCACGCGUGGCGUUCCGAGAGUACCCGAAGAAAAAGCAUCGGCUAACUCCGUGCCAGCCGCCGCGGUAAUACGGAGGAUGCGAGCGUUAUCCGGAUUUAUUGGGUUUAAAGGGUGCGCAGGCGGAAGAUUAAGUCAGCGGUAAAAUUGAGAGGCUCAACCUCUUCGAGCCGUUGAAACUGGUUUUCUUGAGUGAGCGAGAGGUAUGCGGAAUGCGUGGUGUAGCGGUGAAAUGCAUAGAUAGCACGCAGAACUCCGAUUGCGAAGGCAGCAUACCGGCGCUCAACUGACGCUCAUGCACGAAAGUGUGGGUAUCGAACAGGAUUAGAUACCCUUGUAGUC